GAUUUUGUAAUUUUACAUCCAGGAUCUUCAGGAGAAUUAAGCGAAACCCAAACUCCUUGUUCUCAACAAAGACCUUCUGUAUGGCCAAGAACAUGAGUCUACUCCCCUAAGGUAUUGAAGCGCAGAAGAAAUGUUCUCUAAAAUGUUUUCAUGCUUUUUAGUUACUGCAACAUUUUAACACUAGCUUAUGUUUGAUAUAGAAGAUGAUGUAGCCCUGGAGCUGCUGCCAGUACUCCUCCCUGCUCCACCUUACUAAUUUGGGAGAAGAGUUUCAGACCCAUCAACCUGGAAGUUCAGAAGGCUUCAUUGAUACCCAGCCUAUCUUUUGUAUGGCCAAGAAGAGAAAGGAGCGGCCAUCUUCUCAACAACAUGAAUUUUCUCCCUUAAGGUAUUGAAGCUCAAGAGAUGUUUUCUAAACUGUUUUUAACAUUUAACAUUUUAACACAAGCUUAUGUUUGCCAGACAGACAAGAUGAUGUAGCCCUGCGGCUGCUGCCAGUUCUCCUCCCUGUUCCACCUUACACAUUUGGGAUCAGAGUUUCAGACCCAUCAACCUGGAAGUUCAGAUGGUUUCAUUGAUAUCCAGCCUGUUGGGACAAACCUGGUGGCGCAUCUACAAAAUGUGACAACCCGUAUGUCCUCAUGCAGGGAGACAGGCAAAAAUGCUAAAGUGUCGUUAAAAAUGCUCCUUGUUUAAUGGCUGAAAGUUUUACUUGUAGUUUGCUAUAAAAUAGACUUUUUACAUGAAAUGUUUUCUAAUGUGUAGUAACAGAUACUUCUGGAGUUGUAACCAAAUGAGUUGAAGUGAUUUAACUAUAUACUUUUGAAACAACUUACUUAUGUUUUUGUUACUUUUGUAAAUGAAAUCUGCUGGCUCUAUAUAUGUAUCACGUGAAAAUAAAAGAGGCUUUAAAUU